CGCGUAGGCGGGUUCUCCAGUCAGGGGUGAAAUCGUUCGGCUCAACCGGACAAGUGCCCCUGAUACUGAGAGUCUCGAGGGAGGUAGGGGCAUGUGGAACUUCCGGUGGAGCGGUGAAAUGCGUAGAUAUCGGAAGGAACGCCGGUGGCGAAAGCGACGUGCUGGACCUCUUCUGACGCUGAGGCGCGAAAGCCAGGGGAGCAAACGG
rnacentral:rRNA from 1 species